AAAAUCAAUUCGUGCAAAAAAUAAAUAACUACCUGAACCAAUUCAUACAAGUUGCCAACUACCUAAACAAGAACAUACAAUCACAAUACUAUAACCCAGAAAAACUUAUUGGAUGGAAAACCAAACCUUUGAAGGGAUAUAACAAAUUAGUAGCAUUAAACUAAACAUACCCAAAACUCAUACAGACCAUGUAUAAUUAUGGACUAUUGCAUGCAGUAUAUACGCAAAAUG
rnacentral:lncRNA from 1 species